rnacentral:lncRNA from 1 species
GUACUAUACAAUUGAAUCCUUAAAGAAAACUAUAUACGCAUUAAUUCUUGCACUGAAAGCUCAAUCAAAUCAACACCCAACAUUCAUUUCUCCAUUGUUAUAGGCGAUACAAAAGCAAUUGACUAUAACUCAAAUCCAGUGGCUGCUCCCAUUACCGAAACAGGGACGUUAACAUAACACUGGAAGAUUAACAUUAAUAUAUGAGUUCAUUCGUCUCUUUCCUUUACACACUGUUAUAAAGACUUUAAAAAGAAAAAGAAAAACAGAAUUCAGCUUUUGAGAAUUAAGCUAGCGUUCAUUUUGAUCUUACAAUUACAAUGGACAAUGGAAAUUAUCUUAUGAUCAAACGCGCAAAAACUUAAAACCAUAGAAGAAUCAAAUGAAAAUAACAAAACUCACAUAAAUUGCAACAGAAUGUAUUUAAGCAAAUAACUAAUUGGAACAUGUAAAGCAAUUUCAACCAAAAGAGCAAAUAAAGAGUUCAGGAACUAGUGUAAAUCUGAAUUAAUAUCGAACAAUAAGCAAAUCAAACAUAUACACUGAUUUCAGAUCCAGAAAUCAAACAAAUUGAAAUACGGACAGAAAUAAAACUCGAAACAACUAACCAGAUCGGAAUCACGAUGCCAACGGAAAACUAUCUUUGAUAUAUUAACUAAGAGAAAAUCGAACCAAGCUUUGUACAACAGGCAUGACUUUUGAGCUAAGAAAAACGAAGCCGGACAACCAUGUCAGAAUCAAAUCCACGAACAGGACCUUGGCCGACUGCUUCAACUCCGAAUCUCCAUAGCGUUUUAGAUAAUUGACUUGAAGAUGAAGAACAGAAUGCUUUUGAUUUUUUUUUUUUUUUGUGAAACACACAAUUUUCUUUAUGUCUUUCUCCCUCUCUGUCCGUUCUCUCUGCUUUGUGUGUGAAGUUUUAAACAAAGAUAAAACAACAGAAAGAGGAGAUCGAAAGUUUUGACCAAUUUAAUCCGAAUAUUCCUGCUCGAUCUAUCCCUAAAAUUCCCGUCCUUAUUUCGUUUCCCCUCUACUAUUUUUCGUUUUUCUCUUGCAAUUGCUGGUGGUUGACGAACGGAGAUGGUGUGAGGAAGAUGAGGUCGGGGGAAGGUCCUUUUUGGUGUAUUUUUUCCAGUCUUUUGUGUGUAGUUUUUCCUCCUUUUUUUGGUGAGAUGAGUGUCUAUUAUAUAAUAGUGUAUAGGGUGUACCUGGGAGAAGGUUUAUGUGAGGUAUUAUUUU